rnacentral:siRNA from 1 species
AACGUCCCGCCAAACCCGUCCCGC